UUGAAAUUCAAUGCUUUUUUAGGGGCAUAAAUAUACAACAGGGAAGAAGAGUCUCCCAGCCACACAUCAUUGUGAAAAACACGGAAGCAUCUUAAGGCGCUGUGUAUGAGUCAUCUCUUCCGAACUUGCUUGUUCUGCCAGUGUGUACUAGAAACACACAGGUUCAGUUUAACAGGAACCAGAGCGCUGGCUGAUGAGGAGCAGGAACAACAGCAGCAACCACAGGCACCACCAGAGAGAACACCAUGGGAAAGACACGGAAAACCAGUACUCUGCUGGUACUGUUCCAAAAAACAACCGCCCUGAGGAGUGAAGGCUGGAUGGAAUCAUUCUCUGGCCAGAGAUUUUCUUCCCUGUGCAAGAGGCGUGGAAAUCACUUCAGACCCAGGAUGAGAUCCUCAGCUCUUUAUCUUAGCCAUUCUGUGUAAGUCAGGAAAUUGUCACCUAUGCUGUGAUUUUUCACUUGAAGGUAGGAAUGAUCCAUCUCUCAUUUAAAACACAAAAUACUAAUGAUAAUAUCUCCUUUCCCCAACAGACAAAAGGAAAAACCCAUAUGAAAUAAACCCUCUACUUAAAGGAUUGAAAAAUUUCUCUUUGUUCUGAAUUACAGUCUUGGUCCCUAGGCCCCCUGCUUGGUUAAAAUCCUUGGCUGCUAUGUUUGGAGUCUCAUGCAGAACUCUUAAGACUCCUCAUAUGCAGAUUCAUGUCCACAGAUUCAGGGGAGACUGGCUUGGCUAUGGAUGAACAUUGGAUCCUUUUCUUUCUUUCUUUCUUUCUUUCUUUCUUUCUUUCUUUCUUUCUUUCUUUCUUUCUCUUUCUUUCAUUUUUUCU
rnacentral:lncRNA from 1 species